rnacentral:rRNA from 1 species
UGCUCCUUGAUUCAGCGGCGGACGGGUGAGUAAUGCCUAGGAAUCUGCCUGGUAGUGGGGGACAACGUUUCGAAAGGAACGCUAAUACCGCAUACGUCCUACGGGAGAAAGCAGGGGACCUUCGGGCCUUGCGCUAUCAGAUGAGCCUAGGUCGGAUUAGCUAGUUGGUGGGGUAAUGGCUCACCAAGGCGACGAUCCGUAACUGGUCUGAGAGGAUGAUCAGUCACACUGGAACUGAGACACGGUCCAGACUCCUACGGGAGGCAGCAGUGGGGAAUAUUGGACAAUGGGCGAAAGCCUGAUCCAGCCAUGCCGCGUGUGUGAAGAAGGUCUUCGGAUUGUAAAGCACUUUAAGUUGGGAGGAAGGGCAGUAAGUUAAUACCUUGCUGUUUUGACGUUACCGACAGAAUAAGCACCGGUAACUCUGUGCCAGCAGCCGCGGUAAUACAGAGGGUGCAAGCGCAAAUCGGAAUUACUGGGCGUAAAGCGCGCGUAGGUGGUUUGUUAAGUUGGAUGUGAAAGCCCCGGGCUCAACCUGGGAACUGCAUCCAAAACUGGCAAGCUAGAGUACGGUAGAGGGUGGUGGAAUUUCCUGUGUAG